rnacentral:lncRNA from 1 species
UAAGCAAGCAAAGGGAAGAGAGGAACCCGAGGAUGGAGAAAGAAGGCGGCCCUCUCUCUACAAGCCAUCAACACAAUGUGCUGGGACUUUGAUCUUGGACUUUCAACCUCCAGAACUGUGAAGAAAUCAACUUCUUUUGCUUAAUCCACCCAACCUAUGCCAGCCACCAGCCAUGGACACGUCUCCACACACCCCGCCCUGUUCCACAGGCCUGGCAUGGACAGAGGUGAAGCCGAGGGCACUGUCCACUCCAGAACAGAUUGGUCUUGUCUGCAUGGGGAUGGGCAGAACCACAGAGGAACCUCCCUCAGGGCAGUUGUGGGAAACACACCUGCACAUGAAGGGCAUCGGAUGCAGGACAGCUCUUCUCCCUGUGGCUGAGCGGCUCAGCGAUGGGGGCUUGAUUUUACCCACGGAUUUCUUAUGGAAUCCCACAGAACCAUAGGUGGACACAACUUCAGAGUCUGCCACUGGUACCCACUCAUCCACAUCCACAUGGUAUGUUACCCCACCUCUGUAUCUGUGACACCAGAAUGACAAGCCGCUCACUGAUGUGGUAAUGCUGAGUGCUAGGGUGAGGGCUGGGACUCUGAGCUGGGCAAUCUCUGAGCCCCAUCCUGUGUCUCAGAACUGGCCAUCCUCUUCUUCCUCCACCACCAUCCAGCCCCACGUGGCUCGACUGAAGUCCCGGAGAAGCCUUUGGGGCUGCUCCCUGCCGCUGCCUCUGCCCCUGUAGGGAGAGCUGUUGGCCCAGAAGUGGGAUGAACCGGGGUCACCAGGAGGCCAGGACUGGUGCCUGCUGCUGGCUGCAUCUCACCCUGCAGAUGUGACCUUUGACCCCUCCAGGAGGUUUGCUUUCGGGGCCUGACCCCUUCUUACCUUACAGUUUUCGAACGGUGUGCGUUUCCUGCCCGUCUUGUCCACCAGCCCUGGAAGAACAGGGCUGUGGAAAAGCUACUCUGGCCUUCCUGUGCCCCAACCUUGCCUGGCAGAGGCUCUCAUGCAUAUUUUACAGGGUCUGAGUGCACAGUGCUCACUUUACAGCCAGAGGCUCCAAGAGGGUCCAUCUUUCUGAAGUCAAGACCUGAAGACAGGUCUCCACCUCCUCCAGGUGUCUGCAGUCCCAUUGAGCUGGCGCUGAAUUUGUCCUCUGUCCCUCCAAGUCUUCCUGCCUCUCCGCUGAGGAGCUGGGUGAAUUACUACUCUAGUCUAGCCCUGCGGGCCUGGAUGAUUCCUGGAGAGCAGCUCGUCUUCAGUCCAGUCUGGGAGGCUGGAGAAGUGGAUGUCAGCUAAGGCUGCUAUCCUCAGCAACAAUGAGACAAACACCACUCAACCACAGAGUCAAAGUGGCCAGGCAAUCUACAGCCUUUCUCUGGAACCUCUUUGUUAUUUAGGCCUCCACCUGAAGGUACCACACACCCCGUGGGGAGGUCCCCCCCUCCAGGUUGUCCUUCCUGGAAAUGCC